rnacentral:rRNA from 1 species
GCUGACGAGUGGCGGACGGGUGAGUAAUGUCUGGGAAACUGCCCGAUGGAGGGGGAUAACUACUGGAAACGGUAGCUAAUACCGCAUAACGUCGCAAGACCAAAGAGGGGGACCUUCGGGCCUCUUGCCAUCGGAUGUGCCCAGAUGGGAUUAGCUAGUAGGUGGGGUAAAGGCUCACCUAGGCGACGAUCCCUAGCUGGUCUGAGAGGAUGACCAGCCACACUGGAACUGAGACACGGUCCAGACUCCUACGGGAGGCAGCAGUGGGGAAUAUUGCACAAUGGGCGCAAGCCUGAUGCAGCCAUGCCGCGUGUAUGAAGAAGGCCUUCGGGUUGUAAAGUAC